rnacentral:rRNA from 1 species
CUGAUGCAGCGACGCCGCGUGAGGGAUGAAGGCCUUCGGGUUGUAAACCUCUUUCAGCAGGGAAGAAGCGUAAGUGACGGUACCUGCAGAAGAAGCGCCGGCUAACUACGUGCCAGCAGCCGCGGUAAUACGUAGGGCGCAAGCGUUGUCCGGAAUUAUUGGGCGUAAAGAGCUCGUAGGCGGUCUGUCGCGUCUGGUGUGAAAACCCAUGGCUCAACCAUGGGCUUGCAUCGGGUACGGGCAGACUAGAGUGCGGUAGGGGAGACUGGAAUUCCUGGUGUAGCGGUGGAAUGCGCAGAUAUCAGGAGGAACACCGAUGGCGAAGGCAGGUCUCUGGGCCGCAACUGACGCUGAGGAGCGAAAGCAUGGGGAGCGAACAGGAUUAGAUACCCUGGUAGUCCAUGCCGUAAACGUUGGGCACUAGGUGUGGGGCUCAUUCCACGAGUUCCGUGCCGCAGCAAACGCA